GCCCGGAGCCGGGUGGGAGUGACCAAGAGCAUUCUCCACAUCACCAGUGCAGCAGGACUGCCGCUGGGUCCUGCCCCGAGUGCCAAGGGUCGCUCUACCCCAGUAACCACGAUAGAAUGCUGACGGCUGUGAAGAAAAAGCCAAUGGCAUCUCUAGAUGGGAAAGGGGAUUCUUCCUGGACUUUAGCAAGGUUGUAUCACCCGGACUCCACAGAGCUACAGCCUGCAUCUUCAUUAACUUCAGGCAGUCCAGAGCGCGCGGAAGCCCAGUACUUGCUUGUUUCCAAUGGCCACCUCCCCAAAGCAUGUGACGCCAGUCCCGAGUCCACGCCACUGACAGGACAGCUCCCCGGGAAACAGAGGGUGCCACUGCUGUUGGCACCAAAAAGCUAGGUUUUGUCUACCUCAGUUCUUGUCAUACCAAUCUCUACGGGAAAGAGAGGUAGGAGAGGCUGCGAGGAAGCUUGGGUUCAAGCGUCACUCAUCUGUACAUAGUUGUAACUCCCAUGUGGAGUAUCAGUCGCUCACAGGACUUGGAUCUGAAGCACAGUAAACGCAAGAGGGGAUUUGUGUACAAAAGGCAAAAAAAGUAUUUGAUAUCAUUGUACAUAAGAGUUUUCAGAGAUUUCAUAUAUAUCUUUUACAGAGGCUAUUUUAAUCUUUAGUGCAUGGUUAACAGAAAAAAAUUAUACAAUUUUGACAAUAUUAUUUUUCGUAUCAGGUUGCUGUUUAAUUUUGGAGGGGGUGGGGAAAUAGUUCUGGUGCCUUAACGCAUGGCUGGAAUUUAUAGAGGCUACAACCACAUUUGUUCACAGGAGUUUUUGGUGCGGGGUGGGAAGGAUGGAAGGCCUUGGAUUUAUAUUGCACUUCAUAGACCCCUAGGCUGCUGUGCGGUGGGACUCCACAUGCGCCGGAAGGAGCUUCAGGUGAGCACUGCUCAUGUGUGGAUGCCCCUGCAACAGGCUUCCCUGUCUGUAGAGCCAGGGGUGCAAGUGCCAUCCACACUUGCAGUGAAUGGCUUUUCCUUUUAGGUUUAAGUCCUGUCUGUCUGUAAGGCGUAGAAUCUGUCCGUCUGUAAGGCGUAGAAUGAGGGUUGUUAAUCCAUCACAAGCAAAAGGUCAGAACAGUUAAACACUGCCUUUCCUCCUCCUCUUAUUUUAUGAUAAAAGCAAAUGUGGCCUUCUCAGUAUCAUUCGAUUGCUAUUUGAGACUUUUAAAUUAAGGUAAAGGCUGCUGGUGUUGGUACCUGUGGAUUUUUCUAUACUGAUGUUUUCGUUUUGCCAAUAUAAUGAGUAUUACAUUGGCCUUGGGGGACAGAAAGGAGGAAGUUCUGACUUUUCAGGGCUACCUUAUUUCUACUAAGGACCCAGAGCAGGCCUGUCCAUGCCAUUCCUUCGCACAGAUGAAACUGAGCUGGGACUGGAAAGGACAGCCCUUGACCUGGGUUCUGGGUAUAAUUUGCACUUUUGAGACUGGUAGCUAACCAUCUUAUGAGUGCCAAUGUGUCAUUUAGUAAAACUUAAAUAGAAACAAGGUCCUUCAAAUGUUCCUUUGGCCAAAAGCUGAAGGGAGUUACUGAGAAAAUAGUUAACAAUUACUGUCAGGUGUCAUCACUGUUCAAAAGGUAAGCACAUUUAGAAUUUUGUUCUUGACAGUUAACUGACUAAUCUUACUUCCACAAAAUAUGUGAAUUUGCUGCUUCUGAGAGGCAAUGUGAAAGAGGGAGUAUUACUUUUAUGUACAAAGUUAUUUAUUUAUAGAAAUUUUGGUACAGUGUACAUUGAAAACCAUGUAAAAUAUUGAAGUGUCUAACAAAUGGCAUUGAAGUGUCUUUAAUAAAGGUUCAUUUAUAAAUG
rnacentral:lncRNA from 1 species